AACUUUACACCAUUUUGUGGUGGAAACCCUAUUGACAGAAAGAUAAAGGGCCUUCUGUGGCACCCAUUCCUUCAGCCGUGGCACAGCCAUUCCUUUGCCACAUUUAGAAAAUGUCUUUCAUGGUUACCUAAUGCACCUUGUGACUUAGUGACAAGGCUAUGCAAGAGCCAUACAUCAUAGACAAGUAGUUCUUUUUGACCAUUUCCUAAUUAAUCUACAAAGUGUUGUAUGUUAGUUAUCAUGCAUGCUGAUAAUAUAUACUUUACUGUAAAUUAAAUAGAAUAUAAAUAUAAAUAUAACAUGGAUGUUUGGUUCAAUUGUGUAUUUCUUUAAGGAACAUCAUUCCUUGUAUUUGAUAAAUGUGAUGACUCUAUAGAUAAUGCAGGAUAUUAAAUUAAGUUUGUGUACAAACUCAAGAUUAGGUGCAGCUCCCUCAUCUGUGAAUAUCCUCUAUUAAAAGGGGCAAUCAAUUUGGUAAAAUCUCUAGUCCUUUAUAUUUCAUUCUAUUAGUGCUGACUAACUUGCACUGCUGUAUUGCUCAUAUAUGCUUGAUUGAGAUAACUUGUUAAAUAAUUAGCAUUACAGAUAAAUGAUAUAUGAUAGUUAUUAAAGUCUCAAGGUUAUGUGUUUUUUAACUGUCUCUGCAAGAAAUCAUCAAUUUUUUGGACAUGGAGUUCAAAUUUUCCUCACAGUCUUUAGUAAGAUUCCCACGGGCCAUCCAAAAACACACCAUUACCAUUAGGGGUGAAAAUGGAGCAAGUUCAAAAACAGGGUGACGAACAAGGCGCUUUGCAGAGGUGUUGAAAGAUGAGUUAGUAGUGAGCAGUGUUGGAGGUGAUGUCAUGCACAUGCCUGUUCCCAUCAAUGCAUUGGAAAGGUGACAACAUUGACAGUGAAAAUGGCGUAUUGAUGACCAGGGGAGGGCAACACCAUGUAUAAAAGGGAGAAGACGCAGGAGCCAAAAAGACUGAUCACCAAGUUUGAGUUUACUUCACUAAUGCAGUUUCACAGCAAAUACUGCUAACCUUUUUUGGAUUUACGGACAGAUAAAAUGUUACUGAAGAUGUUUUCAUUGAAGUACUUGGUUCUGAUCAUUUCCCUCACCGCUUUGCACACAUUGGCAAAGCCACUGAGAAAGAGAACCAUAAGCGAGGUGCAGCUUAUGCACAAUGUCCGGGAACACAAACAAGUUGGUGAAAGACAAGACUGGCUGCAGGAAAAGUUAAAGGACAUCAUUGUCUCCAGUGCCAAACCACAACAUGG